UACGUAGGGGGCGAGCGUUGUCCGGAUUUAUUGGGCGUAAAGAGCGUGUAGGCGGCCAGGUAGGUCUGCUGUGAAAACUCGAGGCCCAACCUCGAGACGUCGGCGGAAACCAUCUGGCUAGAGUCCGGAAGAGGAGAGUGGAAUUCCUGGUGUAGCGGUGAAAUGCGCAGAUAUCGUAAGGAAGACCAGUGGCGAAGGCGGGUCUCUGGACAGUUCCUGACGCUGAGGCACGAAGGUCAGGGGAGCAAACGGG
rnacentral:rRNA from 1 species